rnacentral:rRNA from 1 species
AUGAAGAGAGAAGACAAAGCAUACGUGUUAUCUAAUCUCAAUAAUCUUGCAGAAUAUUUUAAUAUGUUGAACAAAAAUAUUCAAAAGACAGCGAAAAUUGAAGUACAAAAAGAAGAACAGUUAUAUAUCAUGCUUGUUGGAAAUAAGCCAGGAAUAUACAUGUCAUGGGAAGAAAUUCAAAUAGAGAAGUUUGCGGCAAACAUAUACCUGGCCAUACCUCGGGCCGGGCCGGGCUUUGGGCCGGGCCUAGCCAAGCCCGACGCAAAAAACCCAGGCCCGAGCCCGGCCCGGCCCGGCCGUCGGGCCUGUUUUCUGGGCCCGAGCCUAGCCCGAACACGUAAAAGCCCAUCGGGCUUCGGGCCGGCCCGGCCCAUCCUUCACAUCCCAUCAAUCCACGGCCAGAUCCACCGCCUACCCCGACCCACUCCUUGUUCCACCCACCCGAUCCAUCCCCCCUCGUCUACGCCGCCCCGCCGCGGCGAAGCCCGUCCUCCGCGUCGCCGCCGUCUGCGGCCCCUCGUCCCCUCCUCUCUCCCGCUCGACUCACUUGCCGCCGCCAUCUCCCACGCUCGAUCCCGGCGAGGACGUAGCAGUCGAUCCCGACGAGGACGCCCGAUCCCGGCGAGGACGACGACGGCGAGGUCGGCGCCCUCGUCGAGCGGCACGCGGCACUGGCGGCGGGGUCUGGCCAGUGAUGCCGAGAUCUGCUAUGGUGCGACGCCGACGCGGUUCAUCACGACCGCCUGCAGUUUCCGCACGCCCAGCGACGGCUGCACGGAGCCCCCUGCCCGGACGGCGGCCGGUGGUGCGGAGGUCGCCUGGAGCCGGCGCCAGUGCCAUGCGUUCCCAGAGCUCGAGUGGAUGCACUCAUCGCUGCUUGAUCUCAAGCACUACGGCGUCAACUUCGUGGUGGCCGACGCGACGACCAUCGAGCAUGACUUCUUCACCAAGAACAACCUCAGCGUGGACAUCACGCCGCAGUACAUCAUGAUGGAGCUCGACUGGAUGCAGGGGUCAUUAGGAACAUGGCAGUUAAUUUGCAUAAUCCUCGACCUCCUCCUGCAAUCUCUCUUUCUCCCUUUCUUCUCUGAAUUUCCCGGUCUUCUUCUUCCUCGAUCUGGUGCAGCAGCAACAAUUCAAGGUCAUGGUCAUGGAGCAGCAGCCAUAUAUGAGAUGAGGCUCUGUUUCCCGGUCUUCAAUUCUUCAUGCUGCUGCUACUACUGCUACAUGAGGACCCUCUUCAAUUCUGCAUCCGUUGCGGCCGCCGCAGCUUCCACCUCCAGAAGAGCACCUACUCCUCGUGUGGUUACCCGGCCGCCCGCAUCCGCAAGUGUAAGCUCCCCCUCCCUCCGUCCUAGAUCUCUAGGUCUGUUGCUGUCAUGCGCCAUGUUCUUGAUGUUGCACGUCCUCAUGUGGAUGCCACGAACGGCACUGCUCCUGUGUGCAGAUUUGAUUCACUGCAUUACUUGUCGGAUGCAUAGUUUCAUCUCCCAAUGGGAAUUAUUAGUGAAUGGUGAUGUCUGUGGUCACGAGAAUGGUGAUGUAGUAGCUGGUAUGCUUGAUGCGUGUAUGUCCAUCUCUUUACUGUUUUGCUAG